AGCAGCCGCGGUAAUUCCAGCUCCAAUAGCGUAUAUUAAAGUUGUUGCAGUUAAAAAGCUCGUAGUUGAAUUUCGGGAUUGACACAUCGGUCGUGCCUUAAGGGGCAUGAACUGGUGUAGUCAAUUUCUCACCUUCUGGAGAACCGCGAUGCCCUUAAUUGGGUGUCGCGGGGAACCAGGACCUUUACUUUGAAAAAUUAGAGUGUUUAAAGCAGGCAUUUUGCUUGAAUACAUUAGCAUGGAAUAAUAAAAUAGGACGGCAUGAUUCUAUUUUGUUGGUUUCUAGGAUCACCGUAAUGAUUAAUAGGGAUAGUUGGGGGCAUUAGUAUUCAAUUGUCAGAGGUGAAAUUCUUGGAUUUAUUGAAGACUAACUACUGCGAAAGCAUUUGCCAAGGAUGUUUUCAUUAAUCAAGAACGAAAGUUAGGGGAUCGAAGACGAUCAGAUACCGU
rnacentral:rRNA from 1 species